UUAACAUUCCAAAUAAUCUCACACCAAACAUCAGCCACCCAUCUGUAUAAUCUGCUCCAUAUUUAACCUUCAUUGUGAAGCUUCUUAUCACCUCAUAAAUGGCGUUCAUAUGCAUCGGAAAGAAUCCAAACAGCGAGAAGUAGUUCAAGUAUGGUACUUCCUCAACUAUCUGCAUUUAAUAAAUAGGAUUUACCAAAAAGGUUAGGGGAUAUAUUUAUAAAACAAUAAAUGCAUUGCUCAUACCCAAUGAGGAUAUCGUAUAAUUGUCUUCAUCCCUUGGGAAAAUUAGUUUCUUGAUGAGAAACGAGGGAACCAUUUUCAAGUUUUAUAUCAACCACAUAAUUAUUGCAGAUCUGGGUUUGUUUUUUUUUUAAUUUCUAAAUUAUCUGACAUAUAGUAUCAUGUGUCUGUCAAUAAGCACAUGUGUAUAGUGAAUGACAGGAUCCUGACAAUAUCUAUUCGAACAUCAAAGAAAAAAAGACAAUAUCUUCAUCUAAAACAUUUUGGUUCCGAAAUCUUGUAUUUUAUUUUAUUUUAAAUUUUAUAUAAUGUUGUAAAAAAAAAUACCUUUGCUUGAUAUUUGCUGUUGUAGUAAACGCAGGUACCAAAGUGCUUGAACAUGCCGUCGAAAGGAACCCUAGGAACUAUAUCAUUACAGUAAACAUAUCUGUAAAACUGGAUCCCAUUUUUGUUCAAAUUCUUCUCCAUGU
rnacentral:lncRNA from 1 species